AGUGAACGCUGGCGGUAGGCCUAACACAUGCAAGUCGAACGGCAGCACAGUAAGAGCUUGCUCUUACGGGUGGCGAGUGGCGGACGGGUGAGGAAUACAUCGGAAUCUACUUUUUCGUGGGGGAUAACGUAGGGAAACUUACGCUAAUACCGCAUACGACCUACGGGUGAAAGCAGGGGAUCUUCGGACCUUGCGCGAUUGAAUGAGCCGAUGUCGGAUUAGCUAGUUGGCGGGGUAAAGGCCCACCAAGGCGACGAUCCGUAGCUGGUCUGAGAGGAUGGUCAGCCACAAUGGAACUGGGACACGGUCCAGACUCCUACGGGAGGCAGCAGUGGGGAAUAUUGGACAAUGGGCGCAAGCCUGAUCCAGCCAUACCGCGUGGGUGAAGAAGGCCUUCGGGUUGUAAAGCCCUUUUGUUGGGAAAGAAAAGCAGCAGGUUAAUACCCCGCUGUUCUGACGGUACCCAAAGGAUAAGCACCGGCUAACUUCGUG
rnacentral:rRNA from 1 species